AUACUUAUCUAGUGGCAGAGAAACUAUGAUAAAGAAGGUGGCUUUCCCAGGUCAAGGCUCACCUAUUGCACUUGGAUAUGCUGACUCUAGUAGGUUCACCAGAGUUGGAAAACUUGACUAUGUAAUUUGUGGUGGACUGAGGUUGAGUUCAUGUUCUUCUCUGA
ensembl:snRNA U1 U1 spliceosomal RNA